AGAGGUGAAAGGAGAUGGAGGUGAAAGCAGGACAGAUGGAUGAAAACACAAAGUCAGGCUUCUGUUUUUAUUUAAACCAAAUAGAUGUAGAUAGAAACCAAAGCAAAGCAACAUGUAGAAAACAAUAAGAAAAAGAAAAUGGAGAUCAUAGAAAUGAUUAAAAAUAAAUAAAUCAGCUGAAAUAAGAGACGAAAAUUCAAAACACCCAGAGGACUCUCACUGUGUCUCCUUUGUGUUGAAGGUUUAAUUAUAACCUGAUAAAACUGGCAUUUUGUCCAUCGAGCCACUCCUGUAUUAGCACAUGAGUCUCUGAAGGCGUGGCACACCUUGGUUUGGGCAGCUUCUUAUUGGACGACCUAUUUACCUGCAUCUGUGAACGUGUGUCUGCACUCACUGAUGCUCAGAGACGCCUGAAGCAUCUGCAGCAGCUGCUUCAGGUUUCUGUGUUUCAGUCAUUGUUCCCUCAGUUCUCACUGAGUUCAGAGAAGAAGUAUGGAUGCUGUGUGAAAAUGGCAUGUCUUCCCUAACAUGUACGCUCACUUACAUACACGUUAACAGCCCCAUCAGUCUCUGUUAUCCAGCCUGUGCUUCACAUGAUGGGACGGGCUCCACCCUCCUGCAGCUCUGAGCAGAUGAAGCUGGUAAAACAGUGGAUGGAUGCUCCGAAAGGCACCAACAGCCCAAACACAGUCCACAGGUCCAACUCAGGCACUGCAGUGAGCUGAGGUGAAGCUUGUGUCGCCAUCCAGCUGUCAAUCAAAGAGACCACGCCCCCAAUAUUGCAGAAUCUAUGACUUAAUACAAUUUAAACAGGUGAGUUAUGGCAGUGCAGGUGUUACGAAGGGGAAAUACAGAAACAGUUUUGUAUCAGGCUGUAAACAUGUAAACAUGCUGUAAGUUUUUAACAUGACUCUACGGGGACUGACUCACUGUUGGAGCCUCUGGUGGACGUUAGAGGAACUGCAGGUGUUGACACAUUUCUCAGCAGCAGGAAUGAUCCAAACACGAUCACUUCUGAGUCCAAACAAACAACAUGGCAGCUGCCAAAACAACCCUGUGGGCGACGCCGAGAGGGUUACGUCCAUAUUUAAUGUGGCUGUAGCGUCAGCGGCGAGGAGGUCAAGUGUGAGUGCUAAUGGACACUGUGAGUCACGGCUUUCCCAAAGAGAGCAUCAAAAAAGAAAAGGGAGAAAGGAGAGAAGGCAAAGUGAUGGAAGGCUUUCUAAAGAAAGAACAGCUAACAGGCUAAGGAUGGUUCGGCUAUCAGCAGCUGUUACAGUCAGAGAUCUGCUGACAUCAGGCAGCCUUCAGCUUUACUGUGUCCAGACCUGCUCUGAGCUUUAGUUCGCUGUAAUGAAGCACAGGCAGCACACUGACGUACCCGUGGACACUCUGCAUCAGUGAAUCAGCAGCUUACAUCUGCAGGACCAUCACACUGCUCCGUGUGACGUCUGUAACUCGUGGGUUCGAUAUCAUCACAGAAACAAUAAAAAACAUCAAUCACUUCCCUGCAGAUACACCUGCUCGCCCACAGCGCUGGAACUCUGCUGUUACGGUUUCAGAAACAUAAAAAUAUCUGGAUCCGGAUCUCUGAGUGCUGCAGGAUGAUGGAAGCAGGGAACGUGAAGGUUGCUCUGAGGCUGAUGGGAAGGAUGAGGACAGAGGACUGAGUGUUAGGAAAGGUUUAGGAAACAGACUUCACAUUUUAAAGGUUUUUAUCUCACAGGAAUCAUAAAUGAUUCAACGAAAAGCAAAGAAAAUAACUCAUUUGUCAGCUCAAUAAUCCAAGUAAACACAUGUAACCAUGAUUAAGCUGUGGACGGCUCUAUGGUAAAAGGAGGACGUCAACAUGUGCUGAGACUCAUGGACGUGCUACAGAUCUGUCAGUAGUUAACAGUUCAUGAUUGGCUGCCCUAAAAAUCAGUACAGCUGUCCGCACAGCUGGAUGAACGAGAUGAAGGGGGCCCACAGAGACUCUGUGAACAUGGGCCCAGAGUUCUGUGUUACGGCCCUGGGCAGCAGCCCCAACCUGAAACUGGACUCAGGUGCAUUUUUGCCACAAAUGCAUUUUACAGUAUUUGUGCUGAUUACAGGAUCCUGACAGUCCCGAUGACGCUGCUGGUGGGAGCGCUGGUGUUUGGAAGUUUGCGCUCUCUCACUGACCUCCAUCUGUUA